UUAACCGAGAGUUUGAUCCUGGCUCAGGAUGAACGCUGGCGGCGUGCUUAACACAUGCAAGUCGAACGGACUACUUCGGUAGUUAGUGGCGGACGGGUG
rnacentral:ncRNA from 1 species